UGGAGGAUGACGGUCCUAGGAUUGUAAACUCCUGUCAUUGGGGAGUAAGACUUAAGCGUUAAGAGCGUUUAAGUUUGAUAGUACCCAAAGAGGAAGGGACGGCUAACUUCGUGCCAGCAGCCGCGGUAAUACGAAGGUCCCAAGCGUUGUUCGGAAUCACUGGGCGUAAAGCGUGUGUAGGCUGCGCGGAAAGUCAAAUGUGAAAGCCCGGGGCUCAACCCCGGAACUGCAUUCGAUACUCCCGUGCUAGAGUCAUGGAGAGGUCAGUGGAAUUCUCGGUGUAGCAGUGAAAUGCGUGGAUAUCGAGAGGAACAUCAAUGGCGAAGGCAACUGACUGGACAGGGACUGACGCUCAGACACGAAGGCCAGGGUAGCGAAAGGGAUUAGAUACCCCUGUAGUCCUGGCAGUAAACGGUGCUCGCUUGGUGUGGGAGGAUUCGACCCCUUCUGUGCCGGAGCUAACGCGUUAAGCGAGCCGCCUGGGAAGUACGGUCGCAAGACUAAAACUCAAAGAAAUUGACGGGGACCCGCACAAGCGGUGGAGUAUGUGGCUUAAUUCGAUGCAACGCGAAGAACCUUACCUGGGCUUGACAUGCUUGUCGUAUCCUCCCGAAAAGGAGGAGUCGGCUCGGCCGGACAAUGCACAGGAGCUGCAUGGCCGUCGUCAGCUCGUGUCGUGAGAUGUUUGGUUAAGUCCAGCAACGAGCGCAACCCCUGUGAACUGUUGCCAGCGAGUCAUGUCGGGGACUCUGUUCAGACUGCCCAGAUCAACUGGGAGGAAGGUGGGGGCGACGUCAGGUCAGUAUGGCCCUUACGCCCAGGGCUGCACACGUACUACAAUGCCCAGCACAAUGAGAACCGAUACCGCGAGGUGGAGGAAAUCUGCAAAACUGGGCCCAGUUCGGAUUGGACGCUGCAACUCGCGUCCAUGAAGUCGGAAUCGCUAGUAAUGCCGUAUC
rnacentral:rRNA from 1 species